ensembl:snRNA U6 U6 spliceosomal RNA
GUGCUCACUUCGGCAGCACAUAUACUAAAAUUGGAACAAUACAGAUAAGAUUAGCAUGGCCCCUGCACAACGAUGACACACAAGUUCAUGAAGCAUUCCAUAUUUUU